UCGAUAAUGGAAGGAAACAUCCGCUGGCAGCACGUGAAACUCGGUUCUCUGCAUGUAAAUUUGAAGGAACUUACGUGGUGCGGCCGAGACCAAAGAAGCGAUGCACGCCACCAAGACGAAGAAGAAUAGUGAUCUAAUAGCCAGCAUUUUAAGUAAGAUUCGGUAAGAUUCUCUUCGCUGAUUUUCUCGCUGUUGUGUUCCGUUAUCGACUGGUGUGGAAGUGAGACGAAUGCCGGUGGUUUAUAAGGCCGCUCGAUUCGUUGAUCUCUGCUGCUGUUGCUUUGAUCGACGCUUGCCCGGAGAAGAAGAGAAAGUGACGACGGCGAAUAAGAGAAGAAAAACGACAGCGGAUAAAAUCUAGAGGAAAAGGAACGACCUUGAUCACGCUGACGUCAUGCAGAAAAACUCAAUUUCAUAAAUGGAAUUUUUGAAUGCAUAUCUGCAGGCUCCUGAACAAUCCUACCUUAAUGUAAGCGAGCUUAGUUCAGUAAAGUAGUAACCUAUAUAUUGUCCAACGGUCUGAUCAUUCCGGUUUACGAAAUAAUUAAGAGACCCACGAAA